AAAAUUUUAGUUUAAAGAAAAUAUUUCAUUUACAUUGAAAAGAUUUUAAUAAAGAUAAAAUAAAAAAUUUUA
rnacentral:tRNA from 1 species